GGAGAGGUGCUGGAGUGGCCGAUCAGGCACGCCUGGAAAGCGUGUGUUCCGAGCAAUCGGGACCGUGGGUUCGAAUCCCACCCUCUCCGCCA
rnacentral:tRNA from 1 species